AACCCAAAUAAAUGGAAUUACGGCGUAAAGAGUGUCUAAGAAAAACCCCACAAUAGAGCCAAAUUUCAACUAAGCCGUAAAAAGCCAUAGAUGAAAAACAAAUAAACUACGAAAGUAGCUCUAAUAUCUCCAAUACACGAUAGCUAGGACUCAAACUGGGAUUAGAUACCCCACUAUGCCUAGCCCUAAACCUAAAUAAUCAACCAACAAGAUUAUUCGCCAGAGUACUACUAGCAACAGCCUAAAACUCAAAGGACUUGACGGUGCUUCACAUCCAUCUAGAGGAGCCUGUUCUAUAAUCGAUAAACCCCGAUAAACCUCACCAACCCUUGCCAGAU
rnacentral:rRNA from 1 species